rnacentral:rRNA from 1 species
GACGAACGCUGGCGGCGUGCCUAACACAUGCAAGUAGAACGCUGAAGAGAGUAGCUUGCUCUUCUUGGAUGAGUUGCGAACGGGUGAGUAACGCGUAGGUAACCUGCCUUGUAUCGGGGGAGAACUAUUGGAAACGAUAGCUAAUACCGCAUAACAAUGGAGGACACAUGUCAUUUAUUUUAAAGGGGCAAUUGCUCCACUACAAGAUGGACCUGCGUUGUAUUAGCUAGUAGGUGAGGUAACGGCUCACCUAGGCGACGAUACAUAGCCGACCUGAGAGGGUGAUCGGCCACACUGGGAAUGAGACACGGCCCAGAUUCCUACGGGAGGCAGCAGUAGGGACUCUUCGGCAAUGGGGGCAAGACUGACCGAGAAACGCCGCGUGAGUGAAGAAGGGUCUCGGAUCGUAAAGCUAUGUUGUAAGUGAAGAACGCGUGUGAGAGUGGAAAGUUCACACUGUGGAGGUAGCUUAGAAGAAAGGGACGGCUAAAUACGUG